UUCAAUAGGUAACAUGCAAUUUUGCAUACAACCUAACAUGAGAAUUUUAGCACAUAACAUGUAUACUUACUAGCAUUGUAUGCAAGAAGAGUCUAAAUGGUGAUGAAGUUUUAUCCUUUUUCUUCUCUUCAAGGUUCAGUACAUCCACAAAUGCAUCGAUCCCGUUUGAUGCUACAUAUUGAUUUUUAUAGAAGCUUUCAAAAACUAUUUUGUAUGCUUCCACCCCAGUUUUUGAUUUGUAAAACAAUAAGCUGCAAUCAAAUGUGCAAACGUGUAUCUAAGCAGACUGAACUCAUGAUCCAUAAGUGGUUCACUUAAAGUAACCACUCGGUCGUAGAAGGGGAACAAAAUACACCACCAGGGAUGCCAAUUUAAAAGUGAUUCAACUUAUUGCAAUUCUUCUGCCGUGACUGGAUGGUCCACCAUAUAUUUCUCUUUUUAAAUAUCGACACCCGUGCACGUAUCCUUUUCUUUCUCUUUUAGUUGCUUUUUUGUCGAAUCUACUAGAUUUACUGCUUCAAUGUUUGUUUCACAAAUGUCAUCAUUAUUGUGCCCACCUUAUGCAUGCGAGUAUUAAGUGUUUAGUAUUAAAAUUUAAAUUUUACAAAUAUUUUUUUGUAAUAAAAGCGUUUACCUUGCACCAACGAAUCGUUGUGUACGUAUAAACCCGGUUCUACAAUUUGCAUUUUCGCAGUAGAUGUGUUUGUAUUAAUACUAUCAGUUUCAUACAAUCAUACAGAUUACUAUGAUGAUUAUGUUUGCUGAUGUACUCUCUUACAAUCCUAUACAAACAUGAAUGAUGACAACCCAUUUCA